GGAUUUUUAGCACAACUGAAAUAAUAAUUGCACUUUAUCAUCUGGACCAUGUUUUCUUUUAUCAGUUGUUUUUUGCGCUUAAGAAACGAGGACUUGAUUGUUUUUCAGUACCACCAGUGCGUGGACAUGUGAAAUUUUGCCUUAAUUUUCUUUUCUGUAAAAUACAAUUUUGAUGUUCAGGAAGUUUAAGGAGAUUAGAAUUUUGCUGGAGAAUUGGACUAGAGACAAAGUUAAUGGGCUGUUCAGGGUUCACAGUAGAUUUAGAAUGUCACAUGAAGAGGGCACUUCAUGGUUCAUGUACUGCUUCUGUCAUGUACAAUGCAGUUGGCAAAAAAGAAAAAUCAAAUGCUGUCUUUAUGAAACUCCUGAUACUGAAUAGGUCCCUGAUAGAAUUCUGGAAGUGCUCUGUUGUGUAUUCUGUUGUGGGUUUAUUUUCCCCCUAUUUUCUGUGUGUAGCCAUCUGCUGACUUUUCAGGCUUUAGGUUUCCAGUAGUCAGCUUGUUGCUCAGUUUGGUUCAUCGUAAACUAAUGGUUUGAGCCAAGUGAGAACCCUGAGGAGGAGGUUGAAGGUGCUUGAAACUGCACACAGUUAAAACCAAGGUGUUUUAACUGCAGGAUUUAGAUUACCAAGGUAAUCAUGAAUGGGAAAAGAAACUAUGACAGGGAAGCUAUGACAGGACAGCGUGUACUGUAACAUGUAAGUGCAAGUUAAUACUUUCUAAAUUUUGCAGUUCUUGCAUGCCUGGAUAUGCUGCCUUUACACCAGUGUUAUAUAUCUACCCUGAAUUUUCUCAGGCUUUGUCUAUACCAAACCUGAUAUUGCUUCUAGCACACCUGCUCUCAUCUGGGGAGCGUGAUCCUGCCCCUCUGCUCUGCUAUUGUGAGACCCCACUUGGAGUACUGUGUACAGUUCUGGUGUCCUCAACAUAAGGAGGACAUGGAGCUGUUGGAACGAGUCCAGAGGAGGGCCACAAGGAUGAUAAGAGGGCUGGAGCACCUCCCGUAUGAAGACAGGCUGAGAGAGUUGGGGCUGUUCAGGCUGGAGAAGAGAAGGCUGCGUGGAGACCUCAUAGAAGCCUUCCAGUAUCUGAAGGGGGCCUACAAGGAUGCUGGGGAGGGACUCUUCCUUAGGGACUGUAAUGGCUUCAAACUUAAACAGAGGAAGCUUAGGUUAGAUACAAGGAAGAAGUUCUUUACAGUGAGGGUGGUGAGGCACUGGAAUGGGUUGCCCAAGGAAGUUGUGAAUACUCCAUCCCUGGCGGUGUUCAAGGCCAGGUUGGACAGAGCCUUGAGCGACAUGGUUUAGUGCGAGGUGUCCCUGCCCAUGGCAGGGGGGUUGGAACUAGAUGAUCUUAAGGUCCUUUCCAACUUCUGUGAUUCUAUGAUGUUUGGGUUUAAUUUAACUGAAACAAAAUACUGUAUUGUGCUUAUUGACUUACAGUGCAUUUUUAUAAAAGGCCAUUUUAAUAACAUAGUUAGAACCCCCGAAGAUGGAAAAAUAUUAUGCAGAUGGACUGAAAAGAUGGCCCUAAUUGCUUAGGGAGGAGAUACGUAACACACUGUCCCCAGAUUUGAGGGGUUUUCUUGGACUUUGCAACAUGACCUUUUUCUUGUACUGUAUCUGUUACCAAAAAUAUUCUUCUCUGCCUUUGUUUAGCCUGGUUGAAUUGUUUCAGUUGUAGCCCUCCAUCACAAUUACAGAAAGCUUUUAAAAGGGAUUUUUGGGGGGCAGGGAAGACUGGAAAGGUCCUGUGCACUUGCAUGUGUUUUGAGAAUACAGAUGGUUUGGAGCCAUGUGCUCAAGUCUGGUUUUCUGUUCUGACCACUUCUGUUUGUCCUGGAAGUUACUUACAGUGGCUAUACCUGUUCUUCAAAGAAUUUUUAAAACCCGUAUUUGUAGUUUACAACUUAUGCAACUAUGUUGUUAUUCCCACAAGUGUGACUACCAUGGAGAAUUUUAAUGUGUAUUUAUGAAAACCCCAAUCAGAAUACAUUGCUUAUACUGCAUGAGCAAUGACUAUCUGAAUAAUGGAUGUAUAUUUUCAGAGAUUUGUAUUCGGUUUCUCAACAGAGGGACUAUUGAGAUUCCUGCAUGUGUGUCUGUGUAUGUACACACACUUAUUAUAUACAUAUAUAUAAAUAUAGAUAAAACUAAUUUAUAUAA
rnacentral:lncRNA from 1 species